rnacentral:rRNA from 1 species
UCUAAACCUUUCUUGCGAAGCUAGUGAGCGUUUUCGAUGGAUACGACUACAAUAUCUCAAUUUGUUGUCAAUACAGAUGAAUGAUUGACGUAAUUCAAACGAUUAUACACGGAAAUCGAGGAUUUUCCGUGGUUUCUGUAUCAGUUUUUACCCUUCUGGGCAUUAAGAAGCUGUUUCUGCGUCAAUUUUGAGGUGUGUAAGAAAAUGUGUCUUGAAUUCCCACUGAAAUCAUUUGUAAAGUAAGAUAAGGCGUUUGAAACAAGAUCCGUGCCACUUUUUUUGUUUUUUGUUUUUUUUUGUUUUUUCUGUUGAAUCGAAAAUGCUUUCGACAAAUGAGUUAUAUACAAAGUGUGUGCAAAUG